rnacentral:rRNA from 1 species
AGGUAAGCUACUAAGAGCGAAUGGUGGAUGCCUUGACUGGUAAAGGCGAUGAAGGACGUACUAGACUGCGAUAAGCUACGGGGAGCUGUCAAGAAGCUUUGAUCCGUAGAUUUCCGAAUGGGGCAACCCAAUGUAUAGAGAUAUACAUUACCUAUAUAGGAGCGAACGAGGGGAAUUGAAACAUCUUAGUACCCUCAGGAAAAGAAAUCAAUAGAGAUUGCGUCAGUAGCGGCGAGCGAAAGCGCAAGAGGGCAAACCCAGUGCUUGCACUGGGGGUUGUAGGACUGCAAUGUGCAAGAGGUAAGUUUAGCAGAACAUUCUGGAAAGUAUAACCAUAGAGGGUGAUAGUCCCGUAUGCGAAAAACAAACCUUAGCUAGCAGUAUCCUGAGUAGGGCGGGACACGAGGAAUCCUGUCUGAAUCUGGGUCGACCACGAUCCAACCCUAAAUACUAAUACCAGAUCGAUAGUGCACAAGUACCGUGAGGGAAAGGUGAAAAGAACUGAGGUGAUCAGAGUGAAAUAGAACCUGAAACCAUUUGCUUACAAUCAUUCAGAGCCCUAUGUAGCAAUACAGGGUGAUGGACUGCCUUUUGCAUAAUGAGCCUGCGAGUUGUGGUGUCUGGCAAGGUUAAGCAAACGCGAAGCCGUAGCGAAAGCGAGUCUGAAUAGGGCGCUUAGUCAGAUGCUGCAGACCCGAAACGAAGUGAUCUAUCCAUGAGCAAGUUGAAGCUAGUGUAAGAACUAGUGGAGGACUGAACCCAUAGGCGUUGAAAAGCCCCGGGAUGACUUGUGGAUAGGGGUGAAAGGCCAAUCAAACUUCGUGAUAGCUGGUUCUCUCCGAAAUAUAUUUAGGUAUAGCGUUGUGUCGUAAUAUAAGGGGGUAGAGCACUGAAUGGGCUAGGGCAUACACCAAUGUACCAAACCCUAUCAAACUCCGAAUACCUUAUAUGUAAUCACAGCAGUCAGGCGGCGAGUGAUAAAAUCCGUCGUCAAGAGGGAAACAACCCAGACUACCAGCUAAGGUCCCUAAAUCUUACUUAAGUGGAAAACGAUGUGAAGUUACUUAAACAACCAGGAGGUUGGCUUAGAAGCAGCCAUCCUUUAAAGAAAGCGUAAUAGCUCACUGGUCUAGUGAUUUUGCGCGGAAAAUAUAACGGGGCUAAAGUAAGUACCGAAGCUGUAGACUUAGUUUACUAAGUGGUAGGAGAGCGUUCUAUUUGCGUCGAAGGUAUACCGGUAAGGAGUGCUGGAGCGAAUAGAAGUGAGCAUGCAGGCAUGAGUAGCGAUAAUUAAUGUGAGAAUCAUUAACGCCGUAAACCCAAGGUUUCCUACGCGAUGCUCGUCAUCGUAGGGUUAGUCGGGUCCUAAGUCGAGUCCGAAAGGGGUAGACGAUGGCAAAUUGGUUAAUAUUCCAAUACCAACAUUAGUGUGCGAUGGAAGGACGCUUAGGGCUAAGGGGGCUAGCGGAUGGAAGUGCUAGUCUAAGGUCGUAGGAGGUUAUACAGGCAAAUCCGUAUAACAAUACUCCGAGAACUGAAAGGCUUUUUGAAGUCUUCGGAUGGAUAGAAGAACCCCUGAUGCCGUCGAGCCAAGAAAAGUUUCUAAGUUUAGCUAAUGUUGCCCGUACCGUAAACCGACACAGGUGGGUGGGAUGAGUAUUCUAAGGCGCGUGGAAGAACUCUCUUUAAGGAACUCUGCAAAAUAGCACCGUAUCUUCGGUAUAAGGUGUGGUUAGCUUUGUAUUAGGAUUUACUCCGAAAGCAAGGAAACUUACAACAAAGAGUCCCUCCCGACUGUUUACCAAAAACACAGCACUCUGCUAACUCGUAAGAGGAUGUAUAGGGUGUGACGCCUGCCCGGUGCUCGAAGGUUAAUUGAUGGGGUUAGCAUUAGCGAAGCUCUUGAUCGAAGCCCGAGUAAACGGCGGCCGUAACUAUAACGGUCCUAAGGUAGCGAAAUUCCUUGUCGGUUAAAUACCGACCUGCAUGAAUGGCGUAACGAGAUGGGAGCUGGUCUCAAAGAGGGAUCCAGUGAAAUUGUAGUGGAGGUGAAAAUUCCUCCUACCCGCGGCAAGACGGAAAGACCCCGUGGACCUUUACUACAGCUUGACACUGCUACUUGGAUAAGAAUGUGCAGGAUAGGUGGGAGGCUUUGAGUAUAUGACGCCAGUUGUAUAUGAGCCAUUGUUGAGAUACCACUCUUUCUUAUUUGGGUAGCUAACCAGCUUGAGUUAUCCUCAAGUGGGACAAUGUCUGGUGGGUAGUUUGACUGGGGCGGUCGCCUCCCAAAUAAUAACGGAGGCUUACAAAGGUUGGCUCAGAACGGUUGGAAAUCGUUCGUAGAGUAUAAAGGUAUAAGCCAGCUUAACUGCAAGACAUACAAGUCAAGCAGAGACGAAAGUCGGUCUUAGUGAUCCGGUGGUUCUGUGUGGAAGGGCCAUCGCUCAAAGGAUAAAAGGUACCCCGGGGAUAACAGGCUGAUCUCCCCCAAGAGCUCACAUCGACGGGGAGGUUUGGCACCUCGAUGUCGGCUCAUCGCAUCCUGGGGCUGGAGCAGGUCCCAAGGGUAUGGCUGUUCGCCAUUUAAAGCGGUACGCGAGCUGGGUUCAGAACGUCGUGAGACAGUUCGGUCCCUAUCUGCCGUGGGCGUAAGAAGAUUGAAGAGAUUUGACCCUAGUACGAGAGGACCGGGUUGAACAAACCACUGGUGUAGCUGUUGUUCUGCCAAGAGCAUCGCAGCGUAGCUAAGUUUGGAAAGGAUAAACGCUGAAAGCAUCUAAGCGUGAAGCCAACUCUAAGAUGAAUCUUCUCUAAGCUCUCUAGAAGACUACUAGUUUGAUAGGCUGGGUGUGUAAUGGAUGAAAGUCCUUUAGCUGACCAGUACUAAUAGAGCGUUUGGCUUAUCUUU